UUAAGCGACUAAGCGUACACGGUGGAUGCCCUGGCAGUCAGAGGCGAUGAAGGACGUGCUAAUCUGCGAAAAGCGUCGGUAAGGUGAUAUGAACCGUUAUAACCGGCGAUGUCCGAAUGGGGAAACCCAGUGCAAUUCGUUGCACUAUCGUUAACUGAAUACAUAGGUUAACGAGGCGAACCGGGGGAACUGAAACAUCUAAGUACCCCGAGGAAAAGAAAUCAACCGAGAUUCCCCCAGUAGCGGCGAGCGAACGGGGAGCAGCCCAGAGUCUGAAUCAGCUUGUGUGUUAGUGGAACGGUCUGGAAAGUCCGACGGUACAGGGUGAUAGUCCCGUACACCAAAAUGCACAGGCUGUGAACUCGAAGAGUAGGGCGGGACACGUGGUAUCCUGUCUGAAUAUGGGGGGACCAUCCUCCAAGGCUAAAUACUCCUGACUGACCGAUAGUGAACCAGUACCGUGAGGGAAAGGCGAAAAGAACCCCGGCGAGGGGAGUGAAAAAGAACCUGAAACCGUGUACGUACAAGCAGUGGGAGCACCUUCGGGUGUGACUGCGUACCUUUUGUAUAAUGGGUCAGCGACUUAUAUUCUGUAGCAAGGUUAACCGUAUAGGGGAGCCGCAGGGAAACCGAGUCUUAACUGGGCGUUAAGUUGCAGGGUAUAGACCCGAAACCCGGUGAUCUAGCCAUGGGCAGGUUGAAGGUUGGGUAACACUAACUGGAGGACCGAACCGACUAAUGUUGAAAAAUUAGCGGAUGACUUGUGGCUGGGGGUGAAAGGCCAAUCAAACCGGGAGAUAGCUGGUUCUCCCCGAAAGCUAUUUAGGUAGCGCCUCGUGAAUUCAUCUUCGGGGGUAGAGCACUGUUUCGGCUAGGGGGUCAUCCCGACUUACCAACCCGAUGCAAACUACGAAUACCGAAGAAUGUUAUCACGGGAGACACACGGCGGGUGCUAACGUCCGUCGUGAAGAGGGAAACAACCCAGACCGCCAGCUAAGGUCCCAAAGUCAUGGUUAAGUGGGAAACGAUGUGGGAAGGCACAGACAGCCAGGAUGUUGGCUUAGAAGCAGCCAUCAUUUAAAGAAAGCGUAAUAGCUCACUGGUCGAGUCGGCCUGCGCGGAAGAUGUAACGGGGCUAAACCAUGCACCGAAGCUGCGGCAGCGACACUAUGUGUUGUUGGGUAGGGGAGCGUUCUGUAAGCCUGCGAAGGUGGCCUGUGAGGGUUGCUGGAGGUAUCAGAAGUGCGAAUGCUGACAUAAGUAACGAUAAAGCGGGUGAAAAGCCCGCUCGCCGGAAGACCAAGGGUUCCUGUCCAACGUUAAUCGGGGCAGGGUGAGUCGACCCCUAAGGCGAGGCCGAAAGGCGUAGUCGAUGGGAAACAGGUUAAUAUUCCUGUACUUGGUGUUACUGCGAAGGGGGGACGGAGAAGGCUAUGUUAGCCGGGCGACGGUUGUCCCGGUUUAAGCAUGUAGGCUGGUUAUCCAGGCAAAUCCGGAUAAUCAAGGCUGAGGUGUGAUGACGAGGCACUACGGUGCUGAAGUAACAAAUGCCCUGCUUCCAGGAAAAGCCUCUAAGCAUCAGGUAACAUCAAAUCGUACCCCAAACCGACACAGGUGGUCAGGUAGAGAAUACCAAGGCGCUUGAGAGAACUCGGGUGAAGGAACUAGGCAAAAUGGUGCCGUAACUUCGGGAGAAGGCACGCUGGUGUGUAGGUGAAGUCCCUGCGGAUGGAGCUGAGACCAGUCGAAGAUACCAGCUGGCUGCAACUGUUUAUUAAAAACACAGCACUGUGCAAACACGAAAGUGGACGUAUACGGUGUGACGCCUGCCCGGUGCCGGAAGGUUAAUUGAUGGGGUUAUCCGUAAGGAGAAGCUCUUGAUCGAAGCCCCGGUAAACGGCGGCCGUAACUAUAACGGUCCUAAGGUAGCGAAAUUCCUUGUCGGGUAAGUUCCGACCUGCACGAAUGGCGUAAUGAUGGCCAGGCUGUCUCCACCCGAGACUCAGUGAAAUUGAACUCGCUGUGAAGAUGCAGUGUACCCGCGGCAAGACGGAAAGACCCCGUGAACCUUUACUAUAGCUUGACACUGAACAUUGAGCCUUGAUGUGUAGGAUAGGUGGGAGGCUUUGAAGCGUGGACGCCAGUCUGCGUGGAGCCAACCUUGAAAUACCACCCUUUAAUGUUUGAUGUUCUAACGUUGGCCCCUUACCGGGGUUGCGGACAGUGUCUGGUGGGUAGUUUGACUGGGGCGGUCUCCUCCCAAAGCGUAACGGAGGAGCACGAAGGUUAGCUAAUCCUGGUCGGACAUCAGGAGGUUAGUGCAAUGGCAUAAGCUAGCUUGACUGCGAGCGUGACGGCGCGAGCAGGUGCGAAAGCAGGUCAUAGUGAUCCGGUGGUUCUGAAUGGAAGGGCCAUCGCUCAACGGAUAAAAGGUACUCCGGGGAUAACAGGCUGAUACCGCCCAAGAGUUCAUAUCGACGGCGGUGUUUGGCACCUCGAUGUCGGCUCAUCACAUCCUGGGGCUGAAGUAGGUCCCAAGGGUAUGGCUGUUCGCCAUUUAAAGUGGUACGCGAGCUGGGUUUAGAACGUCGUGAGACAGUUCGGUCCCUAUCUGCCGUGGGCGCUGGAGAAUUGAGGGGGGCUGCUCCUAGUACGAGAGGACCGGAGUGGACGCAUCACUGGUGUUCGGGUUGUCAUGCCAAUGGCACUGCCCGGUAGCUAAAUGCGGAAGAGAUAAGUGCUGAAAGCAUCUAAGCACGAAACUUGCCCCGAGAUGAGUUCUCCCUGAGACUUUAAGUCUCCUGAAGGAACGUUAAAGACGAUGACGUUGAUAGGCCGGGUGUGUAAGCGCAGCGAUGCGUUGAGCUAACCGGUACUAAUGAACCGUGAGGCUUAACCUU
rnacentral:rRNA from 1 species